GGGAUAGGAAGUUAUUUCAGAAAUAAUAUAUAAUAGGUUUUCUUCUACUGUGUUUCACUAUCAAAAUACUCCUCAUCUUAAAACUAAAAUGGAGAAUUCUGAAAAUCACAUCAUAACAGAAGGAUUUACAUUCUUUUUCUGAUCAGGCAAUAAUUUUCAUUCAGAGAAUUGUGGUUUUUAGCAGUCACUCUUUUUCUUUGAAUAUUAGCAACCACCAAGACUAAAAAAAAAAAUACUUGAAUCGUUUUAGUUAUCUAUGAGACUAUUAAAAAGCAUAACAGAUUUUUAACAAACAUUUGUCAGUGUGAUGAUUAGAAUCUAAAGUAGCUUCAGAAUAACUCACUAAGAGUCAUGAUUAUUUCAGUACAUUAAAAAAAAUCCAGUUGAUUUAAAAAAAAGACUAAUUUUUAAGUCUUAAGAAACUAGGAAUAGAAAAAACUUCCUUAAUCUGAUUACAGAUCAUCUCCCAAACUUCAUGUUCUUGGUAAAAGUGUUCUCUUUGAGACCGGGCAUAAGACAGGAAAGCUUGUCUUUUAAUUUCUUGAAAGAGUUGUGUAUAACUUCUGACUUAAGGGCAUAAGGCUCCUUUAAAAGCUAAUACCUUGUUUCUCACUUUGUUCAGUUUUUAUUUGUUUAAAAUUAAAUGUUUUCAUCAUUUUUAAAGUAUGGAGUCUAAGUUUGUCAUUCCAGUGGAAAAAAAUAAAACAUUAACUUUGAUUCACACAUUAGAAUGUUAUAUUUAAGACAGACCUUAUAAAUCCUAGAAGUUUUAGCCUUGCGUAUUCUCAACUUAUGGCAAAGUUGAGAUUGCCUUUCAACUGAGAGCAGAAUUGGGCAGGUGAACAUGUCAAUUUACUGAUCAUUACAAUUGAUUUUUCCAUAGAGUCAUUGAAUCUGAUUGAAAUAGGAUGUUUGGAAAUAUCUUUUUCUACUUAAGUUUUGCUCUCUUUUUUAGAGAAAUUUCUUUUAGGUAUAAAUUGUGGUAAAAGGUUUAUCUCAAUUAACUAGAAACGUUUUGUCAGUUGGACAGUUGGAAUUGUGUGAUUGGUUAGAAUUGUGUGACUGAUUGUGUAUAUAUAUUUUUCCCCAUUUUGAGGGCCAGUAAGCUUAGAGUCCCAGUAUUGCUGUAUGUGUGCAUUUUAUUUUUUUGUCUUCCAGUAUUGAUAUUUUACUCUGAUUUUCUCUGGUUACAAUGUUUAUUCUUUAUGUAUCUCUAUCUUACUCCUAAGCAUUUUGUGCAGGUUAUUCAGAUCCUUUUUACAUUAAGGAGGACACAUGAAUAUACAUACAAACAAAUUGAGCUCAUGUUGGGUGACACUGAGUUGUCCAUAUGAGAAUGCUGGCUUUCUAUAGUUCUUAUGGAUAAAAUAAAGUUCAAAGUUUAAACCAGCUAUGCGGACUGUUUUUCUCUCCUUUUAAAAGUCUCUUGCUUGUUGAGUAAGUAAAUAUUUAUAGUUGGCUAUGGUAAAAUGUUUCAAGAGUGAAUAAAAUGAUUUUAAUAGAGCUGUAUCCUUAAGGAAAUGGAUGCAGAAAUCCAGUCACAUGCAAAAGGUAGGGAAAAUAAAGUAAUGGUAGGCAGAGGAUAUACUUAGUUAAACGCUGAGUACUUAUUAGCACCCCUUCAAAGGAAGCACGGAAUUAUUUUAUCGUGUACUCUGCUAUAUGCAUGGAUAUGCCUUUCAAGAAGAUUUUUUUUAAGGAAGUUCCCCAUUGUGGCUCAGAGGUAGUGAGCCCAACUAGUGCCCCUGAGGAUGCGGAUUCGAUCCCUGGCCUCACUCAGUGGGUUAAUGAUUCAGCGUUGCUGUGAGCCAUGGUAUGGGUCACAGAUGUGGCUCAGAUCUCACAUUGUUGUGGCUGUGGUGUAGGCUGGCAGCUGCAGCUCCGAAUCGACCCCUAGCCUGGGAACUUCCAUAUGCCACAGGUACAGCCCUAAAAAGCAAAAAAAGAAAAAGAAAAAAGAUUUUUUUAAAACUGAGUUCAAGGGAGAAAUGAGAUAUAUGUUUUUCUUCUAAUGGUUUUCAGAAGUGUCAGUAAUAUGAGCUGACUGCUAUAAUGGAAAACUGGAUGGUCUCUGUUUAAAUGUGGGCAGAUUAUUUCAUCCCACUGAAUCAACCUCAGGGCUUUUUUGACUGUGACAAGGGUAUAACAAUGUCUAUCACAGAGGCUGUAGUGGAUGUUAAAUGAGAUGAGGUAUAUACAGUGCCUGGCAUGUAGCAGAUAGUAUGUGUUUAUUUUCUUUUCCCAUCACCACAUUUUCAAUGAGGGAAAGCCAGCAUUCCCUGAGCCAAACAGUAUUUUUAAAAAUUAUCUUUCUAUUUUGUUCUAUUAUUAUGUGAAAUACUGGGGCAUUUUUUUCCUUGAAAAGUAAGGUUAUCACCACAAGAUAAAAGGAAGUAAUUUCUGAUGGUCCUUACGUUGGUAGAUGUAGAAAGAGGGAAAUCAGGGUAGUUAGCUUAGAUGAAGGAUGAGGUCAGGGAGACAGAAGUAGGAUAAAGGAGGUAGUAACUUUGAGAAAACAAAGCAAACCACUCUCCCCAUCCCAUUAGUUACUCUUUUUACACAGCUAAAUUUAAGUCAAGAGCAAUAAAAGUGACAGUGGUUGUGGGGCCAAACACUGAGUGCAAAAAUCUUCUACUUUUGCACAACUCUUUGCUUUCUCAGUCUUGAAUAAAAAAUCAAACAGGAAAGAUUUUAGGCCUGUGAACCUACCAGAAAUGUGGUGGUCUCUGGAUUCAUGACAGCUGAACUGCCAGAAUCAUGUGGUAUGGAAAGUAUCAUUCUGCUGAGGAGCAAGUGAUAGGCUGUCUGGAUUUUAGUAAUUGGAGAAGGUGCCAGAGAUGGCAUUCUUAGUUUCAGUGGGUUGGAUUCUGUGUGGGGCUUCUUCGUGGUCCUCAUGAGUAUUUGACCUCUGUUUAUAAAAGACCAUUACAAGGAAGUCCUAGAAAUUACAGAGCUGGAAUGGAGUUGAGAAAUUAUCCAACUCCAUUUUUUUCUUGUUUUAAUGAGGAAACUGAAAUUGAGAGGCCUAAGGUGACCUCCCCCAAGUUGCAUAACAAGUAGGUGUUAGAACUGAGCCAGGACCUGAGGCUCCCCACUCCUGGGCUAAAUGCUAAUAACAGGAGAAAGCAUUCUUUUAAAAAAUGGUAAUGGGUGACAUCUGGCUGUCUGACUGACGUCACUUAGCAUAAUUUCUAGGUCUAUCCAUGUUGCUGCAAAUGCUGUUAUUUCUUUCCUUUUAAUGGCUGAGUAAUAUUCCAUUUUGUAUAUGUACCACCUCUUCUUUAACCAUUCCUCUGUCGAUGGACAUUUAGGUUGUUCCUUUGUCUUGGCUAUUUAGUGUAUAAUGCUGCAAUGAACAUUGGAGUAUGUGUAUCUUUUCGAGUAAUGAUUAUUAUACAACUAAAAAUGUAAUAAAAUUCAUUGAGUAAUAAAAUUUUUUUUAAAUGGUUAUGGGUGCUUCUACCCAUUUAAUGUUAUUCAGCCCUGCUUUAAAGAUGAAAGCCUAGACAUUUCUUUUUGCUCACAUUGAAUUCUAUGCUGCUGUUAAUAUUUAAGUUGGUUCUUGUUUUAAGAAACUUUUUUUUUCUGAACUAUUUCCUUUUGGUGUAAAGUCAAAAAUCAAAUCUUAAAAAACAUGAAAGAAUAUUUGUGUUGUUUCAUUAUAGGUAAAGGUAAACAUGAAAUUCAAAAUUCUGAAAUUUUCAACUAACUGAAUCCACCUGGUCCAAAUGCCAGCAUUUGGCCUGUUUCCUGAGGGCACAUUUCCUCUGUUGGAAAUUCCUCAUGUUAAACUGAAACCUACUUCUUUGUCUCAGAGGACUCUUACAGGAGCCUACUUCCCUUUGCUCAACCUCCCCUGAUUCCUCCUAUUUCGUCCUUUCCAGACAGACCCCAGUUCUCCUCCUUGGUUACUGUUGACCUUUCAGAGCCUAUAUCUAGAGUUAUCUUAGAAACUCUUUGUGUGUGAUAUACUUGGGAUCAUUAUCCCCUUCUGUAGCAAAACUGUAUUGCUAGAGUAGUAACUCCAGUGCCUUACAGACACUCAUUUAUUACUUGAGAAAGCUAGUAUUUAUGAAUCUUUGGCCUUCUUUGACUAUUCAUUUGUUAUUGUAGCAUCUCUUUCUGUAGUGGACUCUUCGUUUAUUUGUAUUUUUCUCCUAGUUCUGCCGUUCUUUUCCGUUGUUUAUUUACAAAAAUCCCCAAAUCUAAUAAUAAAUCAGGCAUGGAAGUACUGUGUUGCUUUCCAUGGGUGUGCUGUGAUUGAUAAGAAAACUCCUAAAUCAAAAAAUCCGAUGUUUUAUUUCUAAACGUAGGUCAGAAAGAGCCCUAUGUUAGGCAGCUGUGGUAGAAGCAAAGAACAUUGGCCUUUGGCAAAAAGAAAACUUGGUUUCAGAUAUGGAACUUGAAACUUCCUGCCUGAUCUUAGCUAAAUGUCUCAGUAUCUGGGAUUGUAAAUUGCUCUAUCUGUAAAAUAGAGAAGAUAGCACCUCCUUCCUGAGUUGAGAGCAUAAAAUAAUAUAUGCAAGGAGUGUUUUGUAAACUGAAAGUACCAAAUAAAUGGAGCUCAUUAAUGUACAUGAAAUACAUCUCAUCUCCGUGUUAAAGGACACGUGGGCAAAAGGUUAUCUUUAAAUAUUUAAAAAAAUAAAAUAGUGUUUGUAAAAGUUUAUUUUUAUUUUAAGUAUGCCAUAAUAAAUUUUGAAGUUUUCAUCUUUGUGUGUUGGACCAAAACAUAAUUUUGCUGUAAAAAUGUGAUGAUUUGGUGGACAGUAGGAAAGUGAAGGCAUUUAAAAUCUCCACAUAAAAAGUUAUACAGUAAUGUCAAUGUCCAGCCGCAGCACAACAAAAAACAUGUCAUAACUUUGAGCAAUUAUGAAAACUAAGAAAAAGAAAUUCUCUUGACCUUUAUUCUAAUAGCAUGUUCUUUUGAAUGACAGUUCAUAAAAAAUGGUCCUCUGGAGUUCCCAUCAUGGUUCAGU
ensembl:lncRNA